rnacentral:rRNA from 1 species
UACGAAGGGGGCUAGCGUUGCUCGGAAUCACUGGGCGUAAAGCGCACGUAGGCGGAUUGCUAAGUCAGGGGGUGAAAUCCUAGAGCUCAACUCCAGAACUGCCUUUGAUACUGGCGAUCUCGAGUCCGGGAGAGGUGAGUGGAACUGCGAGUGUAGAGGUGAAAUUCGUAGAUAUUCGCAAGAACACCAGUGGCGAAGGCGGCUCACUGGCCCGGUACUGACGCUGAGGUGCGAAAGCGUGGGGAGCAAACAGG